UUCGUUUUUUUUUUUUUUUUUUUUUUUUUUUUUUUUGUUUUUUCUCUUUUGCUUUCUAUGCUUUGGUUUAGUGUUCGGAUAACACUCUUUCUAGUAGAUCUUUUUUCAUUUUUCUUUGCUAGCCCGGUCAGUGCGGAUAUAGAGGUCGUACGGGGUUCAGUGCUUUACAGAAGAUCAUCCCCAUGCAAUCCACAUUAGGUGGAUCGCCUUCUGUUG
rnacentral:lncRNA from 1 species